CUUUCGAUAUUUUCGAUUUUCGUGCAAUCUUUGGUAAACUACAGUCUUUUUACUAUAUGUAUUAUGUGAUUAUCUGCAACGAUGAAGCAUAUUAAUAAAGAAUUUGAAACUAA